rnacentral:piRNA from 1 species
GUUUAAUGGUCCAGGUUGAAUUA